CGGCGGGCCUGUCCCGUCUCCCCGUUCCCCGUCCCCACGAACAAAACCCCGGCGCAUGAUGCGCCAAGGAAUCGCAACGAGAAAAGGAACGUGCCCCCGUUGCGCGCCGGGAACGGAAUGCGCACGGGCGGCCUCGUAUUCUUUGAAAACAAAACGACUCUCGGCAACGGAUAUCUCGGCUCUCGCAUCGAUGAAGAACGUAGCGAAAUGCGAUACUUGGUGUGAAUUGCAGAAUCCCGUGAACCAUCGAGUCUUUGAACGCAAGUUGCGCCCGAAGCCUUCGGGCCGAGGGCACGUCUGCCUGGGUGUCAUGCACCGUCGCCCCCAUCCCCACUCCCCYGAGGGGAGUGGGGAAGCGCGGGGCGGACAAUGGCCUCCCGUGCGCUCUCGCUCGCGGUUGGCCUAAAUCCGAGUUGUUGGCGGCGAGCGCCACGGCAAGCGGUGGUUGGAAAGACCCUCUGAAGUGUCG
rnacentral:rRNA from 1 species